GGUAAUGUUUUUAUUCGCAUUGACCUAUCUUUUUCUUCUGAAAGUAAUAAAUACAAGUGAACAUGCAAAAUCUGAAGUCUUUUAGUUAGUCACAGAAUUCAAAGAAAGACAUCGUCGUUCCAGUAAUACGUUACCUUUCGAUCAGAUAUAAUAGUUUUGUUUCGACCAAAGAAUGUAGCAAAAGAUAACGCUGGCUGCAUGAGUUAAUAGAUUCCUGUUAUAAUUCAAAAACUAUGAUUUACCAAUUAUCACUACUUACAAUUCUAUAUUUAAAUCUUAUUAUAAUGAAGUUCUUAUUGGCUAGUAGCUAUAUGGUUCUAAUACAUAUAUUUUGCAGGGUAUCUUUACUGGAAAAUGUGGAACUGCAGUGGACCAUGGCGUGGUUGCUGUUGGAUAUGGUAGUGAGAAUGGUAUGGAUUAUUGGAUUAUCAGGAACUCUUGGGGUGCUUCCUGGGGAGAGAAAGGUUACCUUCGGGUUCAACGUAACGUUGCCAGUUCUAAAGGUUUGUGUGGAUUAGCCAUAGAGCCUUCUUACCCAGUCAAGACAGGCGUAAAUCCCCCUAAACCUGGACCUUCUCCUCCAUCUCCAAUCAAGCCACCUACUCAGUGUGAUGAUUAUGCUCAAUGCCCCGAGGGUACCACUUGCUGUUGUGUCUUUGAAUACUAUAACUCCUGCUUUUCUUGGGGAUGUUGCCCUCUUGAAGGAGCCACUUGCUGUGAAGAUCACUACAGUUGUUGCCCACACGACUAUCCUGUCUGCAAUAUUCGUGCAGGCACCUGCUCAAUAGUAAGUGACUCGCACUUAUUAUUUCUAAAGAGAAGUUUGAUUUCUAUACAUUGAUCGUCCAAAGAAUUUUGAUAUUAUCAGUGUAAUUUAACUGGUUGUAGCAUGUUGCUCGCCAUUCUUUCUAAACAAUGCUCGUGAUUGCAUUUGUUGAUACAGAGCAAGGACAACCCGCUGGGAGUGAAGGCAAUGAAGCACAUCCAUGCCGAACCAAUUGAGGCCUUCAUAAAUGGAGGAAGGAAGAGCAGUUCUUGAAAUUUCACAAGCACCAGCUCUGUGGAAUGAGGUGAGAGAAGGGUCAACAGAGGAUCUAAAGUUCAUGAUUGUGCUUGACGACCUCGUUGGUACAUUGAUUUGCAGGCCUCAUUUCCAGUAGAAAGUUGUAGAAAAAAGAUAAUCCACAAUCAAGUAUUUCAAAAAAGCUGAUAUAUGAUUUGUAUAUAUGCUUAUUUAUUGUUGUCGCUGCAACUACAGCAAGAUUAAAGAAGGAUUAUUGUUCUGCUUUGUCUAAUUAUGUAAAUAAUCCUUGUUUCUUAGUAUGAAGACUC
rnacentral:lncRNA from 1 species